rfam:Gossypium hirsutum cultivar TM-1 unplaced genomic scaffold scaffold756.1, whole genome shotgun sequence
ACUUGGUGGUGAAGACACUUCUUAUGCAUGUCCUUAAACCGUUCCCAUUCCCCACGUAGAGUUUCCUCUUCAUAUUGUUGAAAAAUAGUGAUGUCGUUCCACAACUU